GUAUUUUUUCCCCGGUGUAUCUUAUUAUGUAGUGUUGGUAACAGUUGCCUGGUUAACAAAUAUCCUAUUUGCCAUUUUUAUGAUGGCGUAUUUUUUCGACCAAACAACAGAAAUGAGAAAUACAAUGACUGAAAUAAUCGACGAUUUACCAUCGUCACACUCACUGAGUAAAAUGCUUUCCAAUUAUAAAAAAAAAGAAUUGCUUCGCUUAAAACUAAAACACGAAGAUUUCUGUUUCAAUGUUUGUGGCUUCUUCCCUUUAAAUAUUUCCUUUAUUUAUAUGAUGGUAGCUGGUAUAACAAUGUACACGAUUUACUUACUGCAGUUUGGGCCAAUCAAUAAUCAAAAAUUAAAUCCACAAGUGCAAAAUAUUGGGAAUUAAUAAAUAUUUAAUGCAAAUGAUAAACGAACCGAAGAAAUUGAGAAAUUUUAUAUUCUAAUUUUAUAUUAAAUCAUAAAAAGGACAAGUCUUACAAACCACACAAUGUUCUUUCGUGACUUUAUUUCUACGUAGGUAUAGGUGCAGGACGUACUCAAUAUAGUUGAUGGUGUUUGUUAUUAUCAUUUAAUAAUUUUUUUCUUAUAUAGGCGUCACUUGUUGCAUUAAAUGAUUCAGUACAAUACAAAUUUAAUUGAAAAGGCUGGUUAUUCAUUAGCUUUGUACACUUACAAAGGCAGUGCGAUAUGAACAUAACCGAAACCGCCAUACUGAUAUGUAAAAUAUGGAGUUUUAUUGGUUUACCAUAUUUUAAAUUCGAAAAUGGAAAAUUUGAAUAUAAGAAAUCAAAAUCAUCGAUAAUUUUAAUUUUUAUUGUGAUAGCAAAAAUUGUGUUUUUUAUCAAGUCCAUCGAAUUGUCAAAUGACUUAUUUUUUUAUUUAACUAUUUUACAAACAGGUUCAUUAUAUUUAUUAGUCAUCGGUUUGGGAAUUUAUUCAUAUUUAAAAAAAAGACGAAUCGCAAUAAUUCUAAACGAUUUGAUAAUGCUAACGAAAAUGUUGUGUCAUUUUUCGAGAAAUAAUGAUCUCCUUCGAAGUAACGUUUCGAAACCAGUAAUUUGGUAUUUAAUUGCACAAGUGACCAUAACUGUAAGUAAAAUUUUGGGAGUUGUUUUAACAAUUUCACCUGUAGCUGAAGUUUACUUAAACCUUUUCUUCUACAACUUUGCGGAAUUGUUUAGUUACAAUAUAAACCUACUCAUAUUUUUCUAUUUGAUAAUUUUUCAAAAUGCUUACACAUCAUAUUUUAAUGCAAUAACAAGUAAAAACACCCACAACGAUCCGAAAACAGUUGUUGAAAUUUUUUACAAAUUUUACGAGAUUUCCAACAAUAUUAACAAAACCCUCCAAGUGCCUAUUCUUUUGAGAAUUUUCACCGACUUUGUUUUUGCGAUAGCUUCAAUGUUUUACUUAGCGGUUUUGUUGUAUAUUAUGCCCGAAUUACCUUUCUUUGUUGUGGCGGAAAUGGUUCUUUGGUUAGUAAAUACAUUAUUUGCAAUUUUUAUUAUGGCGUAUUUUUUCGACCAAAUGACAGAAAAGCGGAAUAAAAUGAUGGAAAUAAUUGACAACUUACCAUCGUCACACACUCUCAUUAGUAAAUUUCUCUCCUCUUACAAAAAAAAAGAACUACUUCGAUUAAGACUAAAACACGAACGGUUCUGUUUCAAUGUAUGUGGUUUUUUCCCUCUGAAUAAUACUUUCAUCUACUUGAUGAUAGCUGGUAUCGCAACUUACACGACUUACCUACUGCAGUUUGGGAAAAUUUUCCUUCAAAAAUUUUAGCCCUCAAAUGCACAAUAAUACGAAUAAAAAUGUAUG